CUAUGCGCCUUGCCAGCCCGCUCAGGUGUGCCAGCCGCCGCGGUAAUACGGAGGGUGCAAGCGUUAAUCGGAAUUACUGGGCGUAAAGCGCACGCAGGCGGUUUGUUAAGUCAGAUGUGAAAUCCACGGGCUCAACCCGUGAACUGCAUUUGAAACUGUUUCCCUUGAGUGUCGGAGAGGUAAUCGGAAUUCCUUGUGUAGCGGUGAAAUGCGUAGAUAUAAGGAAGAACACCAGUGGCGAAGGCGGAUUACUGGACGAUAACUGACGGUGAGGCGCGAAAGCGUGGGAGCAAACAGG
rnacentral:rRNA from 1 species